GCCCUACCUUGAAUGGUGGUUAUGAUACUCGACUUGUAAUUAAGUGGGUUCGGGUUCGAAUCCCGAGUAAGGCA